rnacentral:rRNA from 1 species
AUACGUAGGGGGCAAGCGUUGUCCGGAAUCACUGGGCGUAAAGCGCAUGUAGGCGGGAUAUUAAGUCAGGUGUGAAAACUAUGGGCUCAACCUGUAGAUUGCAUCUGAAACUGAUAUUCUUGAGUAUUGGAGAGGAAAGUGGAAUUCCUAGUGUAGCGGUGAAAUGCGUAGAUAUUAGGAGGAACACCAGUGGCGAAGGCGACUUUCUGGCCAAAAACUGACGCUGAGAUGCGAAAGCGUGGGGAGCAAACAGGAUUAGAUACCCUGGUAGUCCACGCCGUAAACGAUGGGUACUAGGUGUUGGGUGUCAAAGCUCAGUGCCGCAGUUAACACAAUAAGUACCCCGCCUGGGGAGUACGGUCGCAAGACUGAA